rnacentral:rRNA from 1 species
CCUACGGGAGGCAGCAGUGAGGAAUAUUGGUCAAUGGACGAGAGUCUGAACCAGCCAAGUAGCGUGAAGGAUGACUGCCCUAUGGGUUGUAAACUUCUUUUAUAUGGGAAUAAAAUGUUCCACGUGUGGGCUUUUGUAUGUUCCAUAUGAAUAAGUAUCGGCUUACUCCGUUCCAGCAGCCGCCGUAAAACGGAGGAUCCGAUCGUUUUCCGGAUUUAUUGGGGUUAAAGGGGUCGUAGGUGGAAUGUUAACUCAGUUGUGAAAGUUUGCGGCUCAACCGUAAAAUUGCAGUUGAAACUGGCAGUCUUGAGUACAGUAGAGGUAGGCGGAAUGCGUGGUGUAGCGGUGAAAUGCAUAGAUAUCACGAAGAACUCCGAUUGCGAAGGCAGUACACUGGACUGCAACUGACACUGAGGCUCGAAAGUGUGGGUAUCGAACAGGAUUAGAUACCCCAGUAGUC